rnacentral:antisense_RNA from 1 species
GAGUGGCUCUCCCUCCACAGACCCAAAAGGCUGAACUGGUGAACCUGCUGCAUCUGUGGGCAGAAUUAGGAUGAAAAGCACUACCUCUGUGAAAUACAAAAUCUCUGUGGAAGAAAAAUCAAUUCGGUUCUUGCAGUGAGAUUUCCGGACCACUGUCUUGUAUGUUUCCUAAGAAAAGCAAAAAGGGAAGAGAUUGAAGAGAAAGUAGAUUUUCAGCUACAAACUUUCAUCCAUUAGCUUUCAGCUUAAGCAAAUGUGCGCAAAGUUGUCAUGGAUCUUUGCGGUCAAUAAAAACCAAGCAAGAAGACUGAAUCCCAAGUCAUCUGGUAUAAAUGGAAGCAGUUUCUGUUAUGGUUCCACGCUGUCAGAAGGGUCAUCCUGGCUUAGGAGAGGGGCAGAAGGGGAAAUGCACGCGUGGAAACAGGACUGGGCAGGGAGGAUGUGACACUGUCCUCCUCACCAGGCCACGUUCCUGGCACCAACCAUAGUGUUUGUGUCAAUUUAAUUGUUCUUGUACUCUCAUAGAGGAAGCUGUGUCUUUCAUCCCCUUGUAAGAGUUUUCACUGAUGAAGGUGGUCUUUUAUCUUCAUAUCUUGGGAACUACUGAAACUGUUUCAAAGAGUCAAAGACACCAAUAACUAACAGAAAUUCUUGUUUUCAGGGGCAGAUAAGAAAAGAAACAAUUUGCUGAAACUCCCUCUGCUUAUAACAAAACUGACUGAAAUCAGCUGGAAUCAAUAUGGCCAAAUGCAGUUUGCACACAGCAAGCUUGCUGAUGUCACAGCCUGAAUUUCUACCGCAUGUUUCAUAU